GGUCUCAGAAGCUCUCAGAGGCUGUUUAAUUAAACUUCCAUAUCUUCAUAUGAACUUUCAGAAUAAUGAAUUUAAUGAAUUUAGUUGGAGCUCUGACACAGUUUGGUCAAAGAGAUCAACCCAAUCACUGCUAAGGGUUGGUAGCCUGUUUUAACUAGUUGGCUUGAAAGAUAAGGUUGGCUGCUGCCCUGAUAUUACGAACAGCAGGAUUCCUUGGCUGUGGGGAAAAUGAGAUGGUCCAGCUGAUUGAAGUUAUGACUGAGCCAAGAUGAGUCAAUUACCUCGAUGUGCUGAGCAGCCAUCCAGAGUACGGCAGAGAGGAGAAAUGCCAGGGUUUGUACUUUCCACUCUGACAACAAACAGCUGCAGAGCUGUGAUGAGGGAGAGGAGCUGCGAUCAUCAUCAGUCUGGGCGAAUGAAAAUCCUGAGCAACAAUCUAUAACUUGGACUAUUUAUUGGUCAAAAAGAAAAGGCCUUUGACUUCCACUGCAUCUGAUGGUAAACUAAUACUUCUGUUUUCUGAUUGCUAGUCCAUCAAUUUAGCCCAGCUGCCAUUACCUUCUUCCUUAAUUUCUGAUACUCAAAGCACCACUGAAAUCUUUAAUAAGUGAGGUUUUU
rnacentral:lncRNA from 1 species